UACGGGGGGAGCAAGCGUUGUUCGGAUUUACUGGGCGUAAAGGGCGCGUAGGCGGUCGUGACAAGUCACUUGUGAAAUCUCCGGGCUUAACUCGGAACGGUCAAGUGAUACUGUCGGACUAGAGUACAGAAGGGGCAACUGGAAUUCUCGGUGUAGCGGUGAAAUGCGUAGAUAUCGAGAGGAACACCUGCGGCGAAGGCGGCAUCCUGGACUGGUCCUGACACUCAGGAGCGAAAGCGUGGGGAGCGAUCCGG
rnacentral:rRNA from 1 species